AACGUAGGAUCCGAGCGUUAUCCGAAUUCACUGGGCGUAAAGCGCGAGUAGGCGGCAUAGCAAGUUGGAUGUAAAAACUUCCGGCUCAACUGGGAGAGGACGUACAAUACUGCUAAGCUAGAGGACGGUAGAGGGAGGUGGAAUUCCCGGUGUAGUGGUGAAAUGCGUAGAUAUCGGGAGGAACACCAGAGGCGAAGGCGGCCUCCUGGACCGUAACUGACGCUGAGAAACGAAAGCUAGGGGAGCGAACGGG
rnacentral:rRNA from 1 species